UAUGGUUAAAAUGUUUUAUUGCAUUAGCCGGGUUUCUGUCCUCUAAAAAUUUUAAAAUUUUAUAAUAUAUUUUUAUUUUUCUUAGAAUUAUAUAGUACGAAUAAUUUUUCUAUUUGGUGAGAUGAUUACACAGUAAUUAGUCAAUAAGUAAUUUUAGUUGACAUAAAACUUAUCGUGGUAAAAUUAUUUCUCAAGCUCUAUUGCCCUAAGACCCCACAAUCGACCCACCACUUUUUGCUGUUGAAAUCUUAGUUCUGCCAUUUGAUGGGGUGGUGCGGUGCUAUGUCGUGGGGGUGUUAUAUUAGAGGUUGGUUGUGUUGAACUAGAUGAAGGUAUUAUGCUGAUUUCAGAACGUGUGUUUCAACUUUUCAGGAAAAUUAUAUAUUGAUAGUUUUCAUGUAUUUUUCUUAGAUGAAGACUAAAAUACAAGGAAUUUCCUCCAAGUAAAACAUAUUGCAAUAGAAUUAUUUUUCAAGCUUCAUUGCCCCAAGACCCCAUGACCGACUCACUUCUUGUUCACCGUCCAAAGUAAAAUCUUGGUUGUGCCACUGAAUGGGGCAAUGCAAUGUUGAGCUGUGGGGCCAUUAUAUUAGAGGUUGGUUGUUUUGAACUAGAUGAUGGUAUUAUGCUGAGGUCAGAACAUGUGUUCGGACUCUUGAGGAAAAUUAUAUAUUGAUAGUGUUCUUGUAUUUUUCUUAGCUGAAGACUAAAAUACAAGGAAUAUUCUCCACUUCUCAUAUAUCAAGCACGCACAACCUUAAUGGUAAUCUAUCGCUGGUUGAAAUAUAUGGAACUUACAUGCGUUAGGUUACCACGGUUUUGUGUUUUAAGAAAAAGCACCUUCACAGUUUUUGUCCUCUGAUCUUGUUUGGGAAAGGGGUAAGUGCUCACUUAUAAGCCAUAAUCCUUGACCAUCCACCCAAUAGAGAGUGGAUUGUGCUUUCUUUGAGGGCUAUCAUGAGUUUCUUACAUAUAGUGUCAUUUUUCGAAUUGGAGUUGGUAUAUAGGAAGUGGAGGACAUUAUUUAUAUUUUAAUCGGGAAGAAAAUAUUUCCAUAUUUGGUAAUGGAGAGAGUGUAACUUUCUGUUUGCAAAGGGAAAGUUACAACUUUUUCUGAUUAUAACGAAUAGAAAUCCUGUCCUUUUUGUUCCCUGUUUCCAUUUUCACAUUAAGCGUCUUGACUUUGAAUUGAAUGAUAAAACAUUAGUUAACGGUGAAAUAAAGUAAUUGAAUUGUUUUGCUUUUAAAAACACUUAUACUUUUAAUUACACAAUUUUUAAAUAAAAAUAAAAUUAAGUAUUAGAUUUAUUUUCUGUUGGGUAUCGCCUUUUUUCGGUUUGUCUGGUUUUUCUUUUCACUAUCCAAUCUUUCAAUGUCUGUAAAGUUUUUUCUCUUUAGCUUUUGAGGUUUGUUCAAUUUUAUAUUUAUCAAAAGUAUCUAGAAAAACUUCCAAAAGGCUGAAUGAUUAGAUUGUGAAAAGAAAAGUAACAGAAAAUGACAACAGUCGAUAGAAAAGAAAACCUAAUGUUUGAUUUUAUUUUUGUUUAAGGGUUGUGUAAUUAAAAUUUGUUUUAAGUAUUUUCAAAAGCAAAAUGACAUCAGUUACUUUGUUUCAUCAUUAGCUAAUGUUUUAUCAUGAAAUGAAAAAUUAGAACGCUUGGUAUAAAAAUAGAAAAAAUAAUUAAAAGUUAAUGUGUAAAAAUGGAAACGAGGCGCAAAAAGUGGUAGGGAAUUUGCAUUCGAUUAUAACCUUUGCUUUUCUAAGCUAAAUUCCAGAUGAUGUUUAUAUUAUAUAUCAUUUGGGUCUUUCACAUCAGUUCACAUGGCUUAGGCUCAUCAAUUUAGACCUUAUUUGGCAUUGCUUUACGGCCAGAUCUUCAAAAGUUGUUCUGGGUAACCAUUGCAAUACUAAAGAGGUCCUCAGUCUUGAAUUGAAACUGCCUUUUAAGUUAGAAAGGUGGUUUUUUAUUCACUCCAUUUAUAAGGCGGAACCAGGCUUUAAAAAUCUAAGAGACAAACUGGAGACAUUCCAGUGAUCGAAGACGAGCCAAGACAAUUUCUUGGACAGUGCCUAAGAGGCUGCGGAAAAGGUCUUGCAUCUUCAAUAUUCCAUGACAAGUGUUAUCUACAUGGUCUUCUCGCCUCUGGAACAGAUCAAUUAAGGACUAAAACUGAAACCCCAAACAAAGUUCAAUCAGUGGUUGUGACGAGCAAUAGUUCCAUAGUCUUCAUUAUGUGCAUCAGUUGGUAUUUUAUCAGUUUCGUAAGAUUGUAUAGUCUUUUACUAGCAAGCAGUAACUUAGGAAAGAGGAUGACCUUAUUACUGUAUUUGAUAGCCUACUACUUGAUGAUGGAAAUUGGUUAAUAGAGUUCUCUAUCUUCUGCAUUUCAAA